rfam:Schistosoma mattheei strain Denwood, Zambia genome assembly, scaffold: SMTD_scaffold0023807
UGACGAGUCCCAAAUAGAACGAAACACGCGUC